rnacentral:rRNA from 1 species
UACGUAGGUGGCAAGCGUUGUCCGGAUUUACUGGGUGUAAAGGGCGUGCAGCCGGAGAGACAAGUCAGAUGUGAAAUCCACGGGCUCAACUCGUGAACUGCAUUUGAAACUGUUUCCCUUGAGUGUCGGAGAGGUAAUCGGAAUUCCUUGUGUAGCGGUGAAAUGCGUAGGUAUAAGGAAGAACACCAGUGGCGAAGACGGAUUACUGGACGAUAACUGACGGUGAGGCGCGAAAGCGUGGGGAGCAAACAGG